AAGUCUGGUGCCAGCAGCCGCGGUAAUUCCAGCUCCAAUAGCGUAUAUUAAAAUUGUUGCGUCUAAAAAGCUCGUAGUUUGAAAACUUGCCUUGGCUUGCAAAAGGUCCUUCCAUAGGGCCGCCGUUUGUUGAGAGCAAAUAUCGAUGACUGUUUUUGCCGACUUCAUUGUUUGGCUUAUAGGAGUUAUCAAAUAUCACUUUGAUUAAAUUAGAGUGCUUAAAGCAAGUGUGUUACUUGAAUAUAAAUGCAUGGAAUGAUGGAAUAUGUUGUUGUUCUAUUUGUUGGUUUUUGAACGAUGAAAUGAUUGAAAGGAACUGUUGGGGGCAUUCGUAUUGUUGUGAGAGAGGUGAAAUUCUUAGACCACAGCAAGACGAACUACUGCGAAAGCAUUUGCCAAGAAUGUUUUCAUUGAUCAAGAACGAAAGUUAGAGGUUCGAAGGCGAUCAGAUACCGCCCUAGUUCUAACCAUAA
rnacentral:rRNA from 1 species